GCUAAGGGAAGUGAGGCUCAAUAGUGCACACCUGUGGUCUCAGCUACUCGAGAGGCUGAGGCAAAACAAUUGCUUAAGCCCAGGAGUUCUGAGCUGUAGUGUGCUGUAGCAAUUGGGUGUCUGAACUAAGUUUGGCAUCAAUAUGGUGACCUCCUGGAGUGGGGGACCACCACGUUGUUUAAGGAGGGGCGAACUGGCUUAGGUCAGAUAUGAGCAGAAUCAGUAGUGGGACUGGGCCUCUGAGUAGACACUGCAUUCCACCCUGGGCAAUAUAGUAAGACCCUAGCUCUC
rfam:Pan troglodytes isolate Yerkes chimp pedigree #C0471 (Clint) chromosome 8, whole genome shotgun sequence.